CCUCGUCUAAAUCUGCCAAGGUUGCAUCGAUGGGCGGUCUAUAUUUCGCGCACAUCAUUUACUCCAUCUGUUCGGUAAUCCGACUAUAGACGAAAAACGUAUUGUAAAUGCGCGCGCGCACGACUAUAUCACCUUUAUUUAAGUAGUACCGAAUGAUGCCACAUAGCAAAGGACGCUGCGCAAGAACAGAUUUUAUGACUCUAUUGUUCAAAAUUCGCGUGAUGUUAUUGCAAAAUUGACAAAAAAUCCGUGAUUAAAACCAUGCCUAUAACCGUUCUCCGGUAAAAACACAUAAGUGUGCUCAUUUUCGUAUUAUUUCGUAGCGCAGUUCACGCGUGAUGCUGACACUCCGUACAGACAUUCACAUUUACAUGUAGAUAUAUUGCUCCGAAGACUCCGAUUGUCCGCAGCCGCUGAUCCGGCAAUCUGAUGAAACAUCUACCUGAGUAUUAUUCCCUUCGCCAUCACUCGAAUCGUCAGACGAAUCACCUGUAAAUGGCAUUGAACGAAUUUGACUCGCUCUCCCUUUUACAGUGGCGUAAACUGGGACGGGAAUAUCUUGGUACCCAGCUUGUUCUGGCCCUAUAUCACUAGGAGUUGUUCCUGUUAAGUUACCUGGAGUUACUUGUAGCGAAAUUGACACUAGUGACUAAUGUACUAGGAACUACUGGCUCAAAACUCGUAUUUGUUGAAAGGCACACAGAUUGAUGACGGCGGUGCUUUGAGUUACUGUACGUGGAUGUUGCUGAUAGAGGUAACUACAACGUUUAAUAAAGGUUAUAUAGGAAGUAGGAAAAUAAUACAUGUUCAUUUUUAAUAUUAAAAAAUAUUAAAAUUUUCCAACAUU